AUUGAACUGAGAACUUAGACAGCCCAGGGAUCCCAGCUUUGGUUGAUUAGACCAGUCUGGCUGCCAACAGAGCUUCCCAACAAGCAGGCUGUGGCACAAGAUGCCACCAGCAAGACCGACCACUGGACUCCCUCAAGCCUGUGUAAUUCCAAUGAGCUUUGAUCGCCUGCUCCUGUGUGCUCCCCACCUGGAUUUGAAUCUAUACUGAGUCAUCAGCUGGAGUCCAAGUUGCCACCUCAUGAGGACAGCUAGGCCAAAGGAGGAAGAAGGAAUGGAGUUUGUCAGCCAAGUACGCACCCCAACGUCUCCACAUCCUGGCUAUCACUGAAGGUUGUUCAGGACUCUCCUUGGUGUAGAACUCCGGACUUCACCUCACUUCUUCCCACUCUCUCCACCAAGACCAUGAUGCUUCCUACUUCCUUCAGCCAACCUUAGGCCCGGAUUUCUCAUCCUUUGCAGAAAGAACCUUGCAGAAGUGUUAAGAGGAAAAGAUUCAAUCAUCAAUAAGAGAAAUUGCCUUUUUGAUGUUCUUGGAUCAGGGUCUGCUCUCCACCGUGAUGGUUGCAUAGAUAUCACAAUGAUGUCUUCUUUAAUCCUUCCCAGAGGCAGCAAAUAAGGACCUGAGAAUGAUGUAGGGAAGCCAACUUUCACAUUGCCUGGGGCUUCUCUCAUUAAAAAGUGAAUGUGUCA